rnacentral:misc_RNA from 1 species
GCUACUACCGAUUGAAUGGUUUAGCGAGAUGCUCGGAUCGGGCCCAGCUCGUGCGAAAGCAUGUGCCGGGACUGAGAAGAAGUUCAAGCUUGAUCAUUUAGAGGAAGUAAAAGUCGUAACAAGGUUUUCAUAGGUGAACCUGCAGAAGGAUCACGAUAGGACGAGCGCCGUGUAGGGCAAGAGUGUAGACGUCGGUGGGCGCCGUAUCAUUAAUAAAUAAAACAUAAAAUACUCAUCGAACUGCCACUACAGCUUCUUACAUUGCUUCCACAACGUC